AGCUUUUUGUAAAUAUAAAAAGUAUCGCCUGCCCAGUGAAAUUUAAAUGGCCGCAGUAUAUUGACUGUGCAAAGGUAGCAUAAUCAUUUGCUUUAUAAAUUAAAGCUUGUAUGAAUGGUAAAAUGUAAAUAUAACUGUCUUAUAUUUAUAAUUAAAAUUUGUUUUUUCAGUGAAGAAACUGAAAAAUUUUAGAAAGACGAGAAGACCCUAAUGAGUUUUAUAAAUUAUAUAUUUUAUAUUAUAUAAUUUAUUUUAUUGGGGCGAUUAAAGAAUAUAUCUUCUUUUUAAAAAUUAUAAAAAUAUUUUAUGAACCAUUAUUAAUGAAAAAAGUUUAAAUUACCAUAGGGAUAACAGCAUAAUUUUCUUUAAGAGUACUUAUCGACAAGAAAGAUUGUGACCUCGAUGUUGGGUUAAGAAAAUUCUAAGAUGAAGAAGUUUUAGAAAUAAGUCUGUUCGACUUAUAAAAUCUUACA
rnacentral:rRNA from 1 species